rnacentral:rRNA from 1 species
GACGAACGCUGGCGGCGUGCUUAACACAUGCAAGUCGAACGGUAAGGCUCCAGCUUGCUGGGGUACACGAGUGGCGAACGGGUGAGUAACACGUGGGUGACCUGCCCUGCACUUCGGGAUAAGCCUGGGAAACUGGGUCUAAUACCGGAUAGGACCGCACCGUGAGGGUGUGGUGGAAAGUUUUUUCGGUGUGGGAUGAGCCCGCGGCCUAUCAACUUGUUGGUGGGGUAAUGGCCUACCAAGGCGGCGACGGGUAGCCGGCCUGAGAGGGUGGACGGCCACAUUGGGACUGAGACACGGCCCAGACUCCUACGGGAGGCAGCAGUGGGGAAUAUUGCACAAUGGGCGGAAGCCUGAUGCAGCGACGCCGCGUGGGGGAUGACGGCCUUCGGGUUGUAAACUCCUUUCACCAUCGACGAAGGGUUUCUGACGGUAGAUGGAGAAGAAGCACCGGCUAACUACGUGCCAGCAGCCGCGGUAAUACGUAGGGUGCGAGCGUUGUCCGGAAUUACUGGGCGUAAAGAGCUCGUAGGUGGUUUGUCGCGUCGUCUGUGAAAUUCCGGGGCUUAACUCCGGGCGUGCAGGCGAUACGGGCAUAACUUGAGUACUGUAGGGGAGACUGGAAUUCCUGGUGUAGCGGUGAAAUGCGCAGAUAUCAGGAGGAACACCGGUGGCGAAGGCGGGUCUCUGGGCAGUAACUGACGCUGAGGAGCGAAAGCAUGGGGAGCGAACAGGAUUAGAUACCCUGGUAGUCCAUGCCGUAAACGGUGGGCGCUAGGUGUGGGUUUCCUUCCACGGGAUCCGUGCCGUAGCUAACGCAUUAAGCGCCCCGCCUGGGGAGUACGGCCGCAAGGCUAAAGCUCAAAGGAAUUGACGGGGGCCCGCACAAGCGGCGGAGCAUGUGGAUUAAUUCGAUGCAACGCGAAGAACCUUACCUGGGCUUGACAUAUACAGGAUCGCGCCAGAGAUGGUGUUUCCCUUGUGGCUUGUAUACAGGUGGUGCAUGGUUGUCGUCAGCUCGUGUCGUGAGAUGUUGGGUUAAGUCCCGCAACGAGCGCAACCCUUGUCUUAUGUUGCCAGCACGUUGUGGUGGGGACUCGUAAGAAACUGCCGGGGUUAACUCGGAGGAAGGUGGGGAUGACGUCAAAUCAUCAUGCCCCUUAUGUCCAGGGCUUCACACAUGCUACAAUGGUCGGUACAGUGGGUUGCCAGUCCGUGAGGGCGAGCUAAUCCCGCAAAGCCGGUCUCAGUUCGGAUCGGGGUCUGCAACUCGACCCCGUGAAGUCGGAGUCGCUAGUAAUCGCAGAUCAGCAACGCUGCGGUGAAUACGUUCCCGGGCCU